UUCCGUAUAGUUCAGUUGGUAGAACAGCGGACUGUUAAUCCGUGUGUCCCAGGUUCGAGUCCUGGUACGGGAGCCA
rnacentral:tRNA from 1 species